UUAGCCAAGAAUGGCUUGCCUAUCUCCACUGUUUGGUUCGUCUUGGGAGACCACCCUGAUGAUGGGUGUACUGUGUGGAUGAUGGCAGGCCUUCUUGGCUAAGC
rfam:Zea mays cultivar B73 chromosome 3, whole genome shotgun sequence.